UACGUAGGGGGCAAGCGUUGUCCGGAUUUAUUGGGCGUAAAGAGCGUGUAGGCGGCCAGACAGGUCAGCUGUGAAAACUCGAGGCUCAACCUCGAGACGUCGGUUGAAACCGUCUGGCUAGAGUCCGGAAGAGGAGAGUGGAAUGCCCGGUGUAGCGGUGAAAUGCGCAGAUAUCGGGAAGAACACCCGUGGCGAAGGCGGCUCUCUGGGACGGUACUGACGCUGAGACGCGAAAGCGUGGGGAGCGAACAGG
rnacentral:rRNA from 1 species